GCGGCAGGCUUACACUGCAAGUUAAGCGGGCAUAGCAAUAUGUCACCGGCAGAUAGGUGAGUAACACGUGGGAACGUACCUUUUGGUUCGGAACAACUGAGGGAAACUUCAGCUAAUACCGGAUAAGCCCUUACGGGGAAAGAUUUAUCGCCGAAAGAUCGGCCCGCGUCUGAUUAGCUAGUUGGUAGGGUAAUGGCCUACCAAGGCGACGAUCAGUAGCUGGUCUGAGAGGAUGAUCAGCCACACUGGGACUGAGACACGGCCAGACUCCUACGGGAGGCAGCAGUGGGGAAUAUUGGACAAUGGGCGCAAGCCUGAUCCAGCCAUGCCGCGUGAGUGAUGAAAGGCCCUAACGGUUGUAAAGCUUCUUUUUCAACGGGGAAGAUAAAUGACGGGUAACCGGUAGAAAUAAAGCCCCGGCUAAACU
rnacentral:rRNA from 1 species